UUGCGACUACUUUGUAACUACUUUGCGACGACAAAGCGACUACCAAAAACAUAAACACAUAUUAGUCGGUAAUUAAUGACGAAACUUGGGCGUCGUUAAGUAGUCGAUAAUUAGCAACUAUUUAACGACGAAUAGUUCAGUUUUUAGGGAUAGUCGCAAAUCAGUCUCAAUUUGCGACUACAUGGCGACUGUAUUUUUAGUCAGGAAAUGUAGUUGUAACGUAGUCACAAAUCAGCGACCAUUUUGCCACGUUUUUCUGUCAUUACUGUUGUGUCGCAAAGUAGUCUGUCAAUAAAGUUAAAAAAUUUGAAGUGGUAAAAGUCUCACAUCGUUAAAAGAGAAUGAAUGUCAAGUUCAACAUGUUUUAGAAAUAGCAAACAGUUGAUGUCGGUCUAAUAGGUCAGAUUGAGGAAAUCGAAGUUGAUAGUUUGGUAGAGGGUAUUCAACCUUGC
rnacentral:lncRNA from 1 species